AACGAACGCUGGCGGCGCGCCUAAUACAUGCAAGUCGAGCGAGAAGGUGUAGCAAUACACUUGUAAAGCGGCGAACGGGUGAGGAAUGCAUGGGUAACCUACCCUCGAGUGGGGAAUAACUAGCCGAAAGGUUAGCUAAUACCGCAUACGUUUCCGGAACUUCGGUUUCGGAAAGAAAGCAAUACCGUGGGUAUUGCGCUCCUGGAUGGGCUCAUGUCCUAUCAGCUUGUUGGUGAGGUAACGGCUCACCAAGGCUUCGACGGGUAGCUGGUCCGAGAGGACGAUCAGCCACACUGGCACUGCGACACGGGCCAGACUCCUACGGGAGGCAGCAGUAAGGAAUAUUGCGCAAUGGACGAAAGUCUGACGCAGCGACGCCGCGUGGGGGAUGAAGGUCUUCGGAUUGUAAACCCCUUUCGGGAGGGAAGAUGGAGUGGGUAACCACUUGGACGGUACCUCCAGAAGCAGCCACGGCUAACUUCGUGCCAGCAGCCGCGGUAAU
rnacentral:rRNA from 1 species